rnacentral:rRNA from 1 species
GAUCCUGGCUCAGGAUGAACGCUGGCGGCGUGCCUAACACAUGCAAGUCGAGCGAUCUCUUCGGAGAGAGCGGCGGACGGGUGAGUAACGCGUGGGUAACCUGCCCUGUACACACGGAUAACAUACCGAAAGGUAUGCUAAUACGGGAUAAUAUAUAAGAGUCGCAUGACUUUUAUAUCAAAGAUUUUUCGGUACAGGAUGGACCCGCGUCUGAUUAGCUUGUUGCGGGUAAGCGCCACGA